ensembl:snoRNA
CUUCUUUUGUAGUUCAUGAGCAUGAUGAUUGGGUGUUCAUGCACAUGUGUGAGAUGUGCCACCCUUGAACCUUGUUACAACAUUGGCACAUUACCCAUCAGACC